rnacentral:rRNA from 1 species
AUGGCGUCGGCGGCAAUGGCAACAUGCAUGGAUGGUGUGUCCACCAGCUUGGAACGCGCCCUCCCGGCGCACAGAAGGUAUGCCUCAGAGCACGCCAGCGGCAAUGUGCACCACGAGGCCCCGAAGCAGCCCAGCCAGUACAGAGCCCCUCCGUACAGGAGGAACCCUGCCACCGUCGGAGCCAGCAACGUUGACGCGUAUGAGAGCUCGGCCAUGGUGGCCCGCGCACCGAAUAGGAGGAUCAUGUCCGCGCUAGAGGGCAGCAACGAGCACAUCGGUGGCACAAGGAGGUGUGCAGGAUCUGCACCGACAGAAGGUGUCUCCGGCUCUCCGCAUAGCAGCAUGUGUGUGGUGGCGGGGACAGGCAACCACAUGCAAAUUUUGAGGAGCGACAUGAGCAUCAAGCAAUGGCUGAUGCCAAGGGAUUAUAGCAACGAGAAUGCUCAACGUACGGGCAGUUUUCACAGAAUCACUCCUACGGACGGACCUGCCCCUCCCUAA